GAUGAACGCUAGCGGCAGGCCUAACACAUGCAAGUCGAGGGGUAGAGUUAGCUUGCUAACUUGAGACCGGCGCACGGGUGCGUAACGCGUAUGCAAUCUACCUUAUACAGAGGGAUAGCCCAGAGAAAUUUGGAUUAAUACCUCAUAGUAUUAUCGAGUGGCAUCAUUUGAUAAUUAAAGUUCCAACGGUAUAAGAUGAGCAUGCGUCCCAUUAGUUAGUUGGUAAGGUAACGGCUUACCAAGACUAUGAUGGGUAGGGGUCCUGAGAGGGAGAUCCCCCANACUGGUACUGAGACACGGACCAGACUCCUACGGGAGGCAGCAGUGAGGAAUAUUGGACAAUGGGCGCAAGCCUGAUCCAGCCAUGCCGCGUGCAGGAAGACGGUCCUAUGGAUUGUAAACUGCUUUUAUACAGGAAGAAACAUCUCUACGUGUAGAGACCUUGACGGUACUGUAAGAAUAAGGAUCGGCUAACUCCGUGCCAG
rnacentral:rRNA from 1 species